rnacentral:rRNA from 1 species
GUUGUAUAGUCAAGUAAUUAAGUGCAUGUGGUGGAUGCCUUGGCAGUCAGAGGCGAUGAAAGACGUGAUAGCCUGCGAAAAGCUCCGGGGAGGCGGCAAAUACCCUGUGAUCCGGAGAUGUCUGAAUGGGGGAACCCACCCGCUAUAAGGCGGGUAUCAUAAGCUGAAUACAUAGGCUUAUGAAGCGAACGAGGGGAAGUGAAACAUCUCAGUACCCUUAGGAAAAGAAAUCAAUUGAGAUUCCCUU